UGACUCUGGUUUCUCUUCAUUACGCACAAGCCUUUCGCCUUUUACUAAAGACUUCCGUGGAGAGGAACACUUGCGAGUUCGACGUAUUUA
rnacentral:snRNA from 1 species